UAUUCUGGAGUAUCCUAAGGUGAAGUGGUA
rnacentral:piRNA from 1 species